UACAGAGGGGGCAAGCGUUAUUCGGAAUUAUUGGGCGUAAAGGGCGCGUAGGCGGCUUUGCAAGUGACGGGUGAAAUCCCUCGGCUUAACCGAGGAACUGCCUGUCAGACUGCAUGGCUUGAGACCGGGAGAGGUGAGUGGAAUUCCCAGUGUAGCGGUGAAAUGCGUAGAUAUCAGGAGGAACACCGAUGGCGAAGGCAGGUCACUGGGCCGCAACUGACGCUGAGGAGCGAAAGCAUGGGGAGCGAACAGG
rnacentral:rRNA from 1 species